CGUGGGAACGUGCCUUUAUGGUUCGGAAUACGCUCAGGGAAACUUGUGCUAAUACCGAAUGUGCCCUUCGGGGGAGAGAUUUAUCGCCUUUAGAGCGGCCCGCGUCUGAUUAGCUAGUUGGUGAGGUAAAGGCUCACCAAGGCGACGAUCAGUAGCUGGUCUGAGAGGAUGAUCAGCCACAUUGGGACUGAACACGGCCCAAACUCCUACGGGAGGCAGCAGUGGGGAAUCUUGCGCAUGGGGCGAAAGCCUGACGCAGCCAUGCCGCGUGAAUGAUGAAGGUCUUAAGAUUGUAAAAUUCUUUCACCGGGGACGAUAUUGACCGUACCGGAGAAAAGCCCGGCUAACUUCGUGCAGCAGCCGCGGUAAUACGAAGGGGGCUAGCGUUGUCGGAUUACUGGGCGUAAAGGGAGCGUAGCGGACAUUUACUCAGGGUGAAUCCGGGGCUCAACUCGGAUUGCUUGAUACUGGUGUCUUGAGAUAAAGAGUGUGUGAACUCCAGUGAGAGUGAAUCCUAAUAUCCGACACCCCACGUGGGAGGCACACCUGCUCUUACUGCGUUAG
rnacentral:rRNA from 1 species